rnacentral:rRNA from 1 species
CCUACGGGGGGCUGCAGUGGGGAAUCUUGGACAAUGGGCGCAAGCCUGAUCCAGCCAUGCCGCGUGAGUGAAGAAGGUCUUCGGAUUGUAAAGCUCUUUUGCCAGGGACGAUAAUGACGGUACCUGGAGAAUAAGCCCCGGCAAACUUCGUGCCAGCAGCCGCGGUAAUACGAAGGGGGCUAGCGUUGUUCGGAAUUACUGGGCGUAAAGCGCACGUAGGCGGGUCGUUAAGUCAGGGGUGAAAUCCCGGAGCUCAACUCCGGAACUGCCUUUGA